rnacentral:rRNA from 1 species
UGGGGAAUUUUGGACAAUGGGGGAAACCCUGAUCCAGCCAUCCCGCGUGUGCGAUGAAGGCCUUCGGGUUGUAAAGCACUUUUGGCAGGAAAGAAACGUCGCGGGUUAAUACCCCGCGAAACUGACGGUACCUGCAGAAUAAGCACCGGCUAACUACGUGCCAGCAGCCGCGGUAAUACGUAGGGUGCAAGCGUUAAUCGGAAUUACUGGGCGUAAAGCGUGCGCAGGCGGUUCGGAAAGAAAGAUGUGAAAUCCCAGAGCUUAACUUUGGAACUGCAUUUUUAACUACCGGGCUAGAGUGUGUCAGAGGGAGGUGGAAUUCCGCGUGUAGCAGUGAAAUGCGUAGAUAUGCGGAGGAACACCGAUGGCGAAGGCAGCCUCCUGGGAUAACACUGACGCUCAUGCGCGAAAGCGUGGGGAGCAAACAGGAUUAGAUACCCGUGGUAGUCCACGCCCUAAACGAUGUCAACUAGCUGUUGGGGCCUUCGGGCCUUGGUAGCGCAGCUAACGCGUGAAGUUGACCGCCUGGGGAGUACGGUCGCAAGAUUAAAACUCAAAUGAAUUGAC